UACGGGGGGGGCAAGCGUUGUUCGGAAUUACUGGGCGUAAAGGGCUCGUAGGUGGCCAACUAAGUCAGACGUGAAAUCCCUCGGCUUAACCGGGGAACUGCGUCUGAUACUGGAUGGCUUGAGUUUGGGAGAGGGACGCGGAAUUCCAGGUGUAGCGGUGAAAUGCGUAGAUAUCUGGAGGAACACCUGUGUGUAGACGGCUUUCUGGACCAUAGCUGACGCUGAGACACGAAAGCGUG
rnacentral:rRNA from 1 species